CCCGCUGAACUUAAGCAUAUCAAUAAGCGGAGGAAAAGAAACCAACAGGGAUUGCCCCAGUAACGGCGAGUGAAGCGGCAACAGCUCAAAUUUGAAAUCUGGCUCUCGGGCCCGAGUUGUAAUUUGUAGAGGAUGCUUUUGGCGAGGUGGCUUCUGAGUUCCCUGGAACGGGACGCCAGAGAGGGUGAGAGCCCCGUAUAGUCGCACACCGAGCCUCUGUAAAGCUCCUUCGACGAGUCGAGUAGUUUGGGAAUGCUGCUCAAAAUGGGAGGUAUAUCUCUUCUAAAGCUAAAUAUAGGCCAGAGACCGAUAGCGCACAAGUAGAGUGAUCGAAAGAUGAAAAGCACUUUGAAAAGAGGGUUAAAUAGCACGUGAAAUUGUUGAAAGGGAAGCGCUUGUGACCAGACUUGUGCCGGGCUGAUCAUCCGCCGUUCUCGGCGGUGCACUCGACCCGGCUCAGGCCAGCGUCGGUUCUCGCGGGGGGACAAAAGCUUCGGGAACGUGGCACCUUCGGGUGUGUUAUAGCCCGCUGCUCAAUACCCUCGUGGGGACCGAGGUUCGCGCUCUGCAAGGACGCUGGCAUAAUGGUCAUCAGCGACCCGUCUUGAAACACGGACCAAGGAGUCGAGGUUUUGCGCGAGUGUUUGGGUGUAAAACCCGCACGCGUAAUGAAAGUGAACGUAGGUGAGAGCUUCGGCGCAUCAUCGACCGAUCCUGAUGUAUUCGGAUGGAUUUGAGUAAGAGCGUAUAGCCUCGGACCCGAAAGAUGGUGAACUAUGCCUGAAUAGGGUGAAGCCAGAGGAAACUCUGGUGGAGGCUCGCAGCGGUUCUGACGUGCAAAUCGAUCGUCAAAUUUGGGCAUGGGGGCGAAAGACUAAUCGAACCAUCUAGUAGCUGGUUACCGCCGAAGUUUCCCUCAGGAUAGCAGUGUUGUUCUUCAGUUUUAUGAGGUAAAGCGAAUGAUUAGGGACUCGGGGGCGCUAUAUAGCCUUCAUCCAUUCUCAAACUUUAAAUAUGUAAGAAGCCCUUGUUACUUAAUUGAACGUGGGCAUUCGAAUGUACCAACACUAGUGGGCCAUUUUUGGUAAGCAGAACUGGCGAUGCGGGAUGAACCGAACGCGGGGUUAAGGUGCCAGAGUGGACGCUCAUCAGACACCACAAAAGGCGUUAGUACAUCUUGACAGCAGGACGGUGGCCAUGGAAGUCGGAAUCCGCUAAGGACUGUGUAACAACUCACCUGCCGAAUGUACUAGCCCUGAAAAUGGAUGGCGCUCAAGCGUCCCACCCAUACCCCGCCGUCAGGGUAGAAACGAUGCCCUGACGAGUAGGCGGCCGUGGGGGUCAGUGACGAAGCCUAGGGCGUGAG
rnacentral:rRNA from 1 species